AAAUACAUGUUUAUAUGUUGCCAAUCUUGAAGAAUUUUCUUUUCUGGGUUCUCCUAUAUGAAAAAAAAUUUAACAGAGGUUGAAAGUGGCAACAGUAGGACCAAAUUAAGUCAAUUACCUUGAAUAAAAUAUAUUGGAGUCUUUCCCUUCAAUAGGAAUUCCAAUUCAAUAAUUGUAAGGAAGAAAUCAAUCUGUGUAAAGAGAUUUAUCUUUUCUAAUAUGUGAACUUGGCCCAUGACUUGACAGCAACUACAACUACGGUCCAGCAGGAAAAGCCAUAAACUAUGACCUUCUAAACAACCCAGAUGCUGUUGCAACAGACCCAACUAUUUCCUUCAAGACGGCUUUGUGGUUCUGGAUGACCCCUCAAUCACCAAAGCCUUCAUGCCACAGUGUUAUCACCGGACAGUGGACGCCAUCAAGUUCAGACACAUCAGCAGGUCGUGUUCCUGGCUAUGGGCUCAUCACCAACA
rnacentral:lncRNA from 1 species